CCAACCCAAACCCUAACUCUCCAGCUCCCUCUCAAUCCUAUCCCCUCCCCGCCUGCCGCCUCCCCUGGCGCCGCCGGGCGCUCGGCUUUCCCCCUCUCUAGCGCCGUCGACCUCUCUCACUCUCUCGCUCGCUCGGAGGCGGUGGUGGCGUGGAUGGCGUGGGCGGAGGGCGGGCUGCACGUGCUCCCGGCCGCCACGCUGCUCCCCUACGCGGCGUCCUGGCGUGCGUCCUGGCGUGGGCGCCGCUCAUGCUGGGCAACGGCCCAGCGCGCGCGGGCAUGGCCGCCGGCGCCUUGGUGUGCGCGCGUGGGUUCGACGCCGUGAACCUCGUCGCCGGUGACCUUGCCAAGUCGGCCGUCGCCUGGGCCGUUCUUGUCGCUGUCGUCAACAACAAGAUCUGAGCCCGCUCCUCCGUCCCGCCUGUUCAUGUGUCCUGUUCUCUCGUGUGUGCUAUUCAUGUUCCACCGUGUGCAGGCCUCUCUCUCCCUCUCUCUCAGACCCACCACUGCUCCCUUCCACAGAUCCAUCCGGCGGGAGCUCCAGCACCUCAUCGGGGACACGGGGCCCGGGGACCUGCACUUCUUCCACUACACCGGCAGGUGCUCAAGGCGGCAUUGCGGAGCCCUGGUUGAGGCAGCUCGGGUGAGCAGGAUACCAAGGCACCUCGAAUGAGCAGGGUACCACCACCAGCAGCAGUUAAGAGUCGUGGUGGUGGAGCAUGACCACAAUGGCGCAGGAUGUCUAGUGGGCAGAACCAAAGUUUAUGCAAAGAUGGAGAUAGUGGACAAGGUGAGAGGGGCGACAGCACACCCCAGUUAGCAGGAGCUAGGAGGUCAAUUAUAGCUUCUCGUGGAACUGCGUACUUGUGUUUGCAAUUAUGUUGAAACCUUUUUUUUUUGUUUCUGAUGCUGUGCAAGUGAUGCUAGUGGAAAAAAAAUGUAUGUGAUCUGUUGAUUUAAUAUCAUGCUGAAUGGAAACGUGAUUCAUGUGAUGCUAUUAUUUU